CUCUCUCUCUCUCUCUCUCUCUCUCUCUCUCUCUCAAUCACUCUUGUCUUUUCCUUUGUGAAUUCUGGAAACCGGCGAGGAACACUUCGCCAAUAUACUCGCCAUACUGCCAGUUGCGUGAAAAAACUUGGAGAGGAAAUACGAGGAGAUUCCCUCGCUCUUAUUUAACGUCAAGGAGUGAUUUUGAGGGAUAAUAGGCUGCUCUUUCCAGCGGUUCGACAGAUCAGUUUAAGCGCUGAUUGCCAACUGUUUUGUUUGCUACCACGGACAUGUUAUAUUUAAAUCAUCUUUUGCUUGGAUGAAAGGCUUUCGAAAAAUUUGCCUAUUCAACAAGCUCGACGACUCCCUAUAUUUCUUUGUGAAGUCUCGUUUUCGGAAGCAGUUUCAGGCUCCCUUGAUGAUUGGUGUUUUUGACGUUAUUACUAUUGUAUUACUGUUGUAUUAUUGUUGAUUGUUAAAAAUCGAUGAUACCGCGACUACUAAUACAACUAUUUCUAACACUGUUGCAAGUAAUAACUGCUUCAUUUUGGUUCCCAUUCCAGUUUGUACUGUUGUGUUUUAAUUACAUUUAUUUAUUCACUUUAUAAUUAUUUCUUCAUACAUUAACUAAUUAUUACUAAAAUAUUUAAUGAGUUGUCUUUUAUUUUGUAGUAUGUGUAGUGUAUUUAUUGCAGUUUUCUUUCAUUUUACCCUUCACCCCAUGCACAGAGUUCUGUCAAAUUGCAAGAAGAGUCGAGCGAAUUGAACAGAACAUAACUUGCACCGCAUACACAAUUCCCUUACAAAAUAUUUCCCCCCUUUAUCUAAAUAAUUGUUAUUCAUCUCAUUUUGAAAUGAUAUUUCUGUUACAAUUAAAUGGAAUUCAAAUCAAUGUUUUGUUAUAACGGAUUGCAACACGAAAUAACUAUUAUUACAGAAAAAAAUUUAAGAAAAAGAGUGAGAGGGAGUGAGAGGGAGAGAGGGAGAUUUUUUUGUUGCUUCCCAGUUUUUUUUCUUUCUUUUCUCUUCGUUAAAAAAUAUAUUUGAUAUAAAUUGACAAAUUCUUAUUUUUCGACAGAUUUUAGACAAUUUUUUUUUCUCUAUUACAUAUAUUAUUGAGCGUUCUAUUUUUAUAUGGAAAUUACUUUUUGACUCGUGUGUGGAAUUGGUAAAUAACUGUGCUGAGAUUGGACUGUUAUAGGAAAUGUUUCAAUAAAAAACUGUCUUUUGUUUCUGUAAUAUAAUUUACAAUAAAAUGAAAAAUUCAACAAUAAAAGAAAGAAAAACAAACA